UACGAAAGGGGCUAGCGUUGUUCGGAAUUACUGGGAGUAAAGCGCACGUAGGCGGCACUGUAAGUUGGGGGUGAAAUCCCGGAGCUCAACUCCGGAACUGCCUUCAAGACUGCAGAGCUGGAGGAUGCGAGAGGUGAGUGGAAUUCCGAGUGUAGAGGUGAAAUUCGUAGAUAUUCGGAAGAACACCAGUGGCGACGGCGGCUCACUGGCGCAUUUCUGACGCUGAGGUGCGAAAGCGUGGGUAGCAAACAGG
rnacentral:rRNA from 1 species